GGCUUCGCCUGUUUAACAAAAACAUAGUCUAAAGAAAAGAAUUUUAGAUAAGAUCUGCUCAAUGACAAAUUUAAAUAGCUGCAGUAAAUUAACUGUACUAAGGUAGCAUAAUAAGUUGCUUUAUAAUUAAAAGCUUGAAUGAAAGAAACAAUGUGAAACAAACUUUUUAAACUAAAAGAGUAAAAAUUAAUAUUUAAGUGAAAAAUCUUAAAUUAAAUCAAAAGACAAGAAGACCCUUUAGAACUUUAUAAGUUAAAUUAUGUUCAUUAGAUUAAUUUAUCAAGUUGGGGAGAUUUUUAAAUAAAUAAAUCUUUAAAUAUAACAAAAUGAAUUACCUCAGGUUAAACUAUCCAAAUAAGAAUUAAAACAAGUUACCUAAGGGAUAACAGCGCAAAAUUUUUGAGAAGCUCUUAUUCACAAGAUAAAUUGCGACCUCGAUGUUGGAUUAAGAAUAGCUUAUAAAGAAAAAUUUAUAAGGAUUGGUCUGUUCGCC
rnacentral:rRNA from 1 species